GUCUAAUUUCUGCUGCGUCACAGAGGAAAAAAGCGGUUUGCAAGCUGUCAGUUUCUACCGUGCGCUGCAGCAAAGUAUGCUAUAGAGAUUCUAAGCUUAGAAAACAAGCACUACGGUUUCUACAGGUUCUUUGAACAUUGUGUAAACUUGAAAAUGUUUGCAUGACGUUGCAAGAGCAAGAUUGGUGAGUGAAUGUUCAAUCUAGAUUGAGGAGUGUUUGAGGAGUG